rnacentral:tRNA from 1 species
GGAGAGGUACCCAAGUGGCUUAAGGGGCGGGCUUGCUAAGCCUGUAGUAGGGGGUAACCCCUAGCGAGAGUUCAAAUCUCUCCCUCUCCGCCA